rnacentral:misc_RNA from 1 species
UAAUAAUAUUUGAUGCUGUAUCUUCCAUAAUCUCCCCUGGUUCUUCAGGAAUUAUACCUUGGGCCAACAAUAACCGAACUACUUUUCCUUUCUCCCAAUAGAAAUUUUGGGAAAGAACAUAGAUGUAAUCUAAGCAGGAUUUGAGAUGAAGAGGAAGCUUUUCAUAAAUAGAUUUGUAAGCAGCUAAAGAAGAAGUCUCACCUUCGUCUUUUUGAAUACUUCUGAUUGGAAUAG